rnacentral:rRNA from 1 species
GACGAACGCUGGCGGCGUGCUUAACACAUGCAAGUCGAACGGAAAGGCCCUUUCGGGGGUACUCGAGUGGCGAACGGGUGAGUAACACGUGGGUGAUCUGCCCUGCACUUUGGGAUAAGCCUGGGAAACUGGGUCUAAUACCGAAUAGGACCACGCGCUUCAUGGUGUGUGGUGGAAAGCUUUUGCGGUGUGGGAUGGGCCCGCGGCCUAUCAGCUUGUUGGUGGGGUAAUGGCCUACCAAGGCGACGACGGGUAGCCGGCCUGAGAGGGUGUCCGGCCACACUGGGACUGAGAUACGGCCCAGACUCCUACGGGAGGCAGCAGUGGGGAAUAUUGCACAAUGGGCGCAAGCCUGAUGCAGCGACGCCGCGUGGGGGAUGACGGCCUUCGGGUUGUAAACCUCUUUCAGUAUCGGCGAAGCUCCAGGAUUCUUCUUGGGGUGACGGUAGGUACAGAAGAAGCACCGGCCAACUACGUGC